GGAAAUCCUAUUUGACAGGAAGCAGGAGGAAAACACAUACUCAGUUCUAAACACUAGUAACCCCAUCGUUAGUGGUUGUGACCUACAAACAAGGACCAUUGCUCUUGCAGCAGAGUUAGCAGAGGCUAUGCUUAUUCUCCUCCUGUGGCUAGCUAUCCAGAAGCCACAAAAACCUGCUACGGUCACAGAAUUGGAUGGGCAAAAGAGGAUCCACACUGGAUCAAACCUGGAUAAUUGGAAAAUCUGGACUUCCAUUGAGUCAGGAUGUCAGGCAAUCAGAACAAGUGGGCUUGGGCCCAGGGUAUUUCAAAGAGCACCUUCUUCUUCAUGAACCCCGCCACCAAUUAAGAUCAUCGGGGGAAGUCCAGUUGUGCUUGCCAUUGGCUCAUUUGGUGGCGACCCAAAACCAGGUUUUUUCUAAGGUUGCCCCAAGGCUCUGGAACACACUUCCAAAUGAAAUCAGAAUCUCCCCAUCUCUGUUUUUAAACGGCUUUUGAAAAUACAUCUGUUUUAAAGCUUUUACCAUAUGAGAUUUUAAAGCUUUAUUUGUGGUAAUUUUAAUCUGUUUAUAUGAUUUUUAGGUAUUGGUUUGAUU